UGAAUAUGGGUUAUUAUGUACAUCAGACUUUAAGUUGAAAAUUACACAUUUUUAUUAAUAUAAAGUAAAUUUCCCUUUGCUUUUAAUCUUUGUACAUCCUUUUCAGUAGGGUGUGGGAUUAGAGGAGGGGAGGUGGAAGAAUUAUGAUGGUACAUUUCCUAUUUUUGUGCAUCUUUUGCAUUUAUUCAUCUAAGGAGGUACUUAAGCAGUGCUCACCAUGUGCUAAGCACUAUAUGAGGUUGUGAGGAGCCAUCAGAGACCACCCAGAUACAAGACUCCCUGCAGCUGUGCUGGGGUAGCAGUCUGUUCACUCCAUUUUCAUUUGACCAGUCAGGCAGGGCAGGGUUUACUGGUCCCAUUUAACAGAGAAGGAAGCAGAAUAAUGAGCAGAUGGAAUCUUCCCUGGAGGUCCAAAUUUUAGUUUCCUAAACAUUGCAACUGUAUUUUUCUUUUCCAUUUCGUUCCAAAUAAAUCAUUAUAGUAAAAUUACAUUCCUCUGAAAUCACUCUCAGGAAAGUACUCAAGUAGCCUUUUUUUUUUUUUUUUUUUUUUUGAGAGAGUCACACUCUGUCGUCCAGGCUGGAGUGCAGUGGCACGAUCUUGGCUCGCUGCAACCUCUGCCUCCUGGGUUUAAGUGGUUCUCCUGCCUCAG
rnacentral:lncRNA from 1 species